UAGUCCAUUAGACCACUGAUCUAGAAUCUAGAGAGAGUCGUUGGAUCUCGUACACAUUCAGGGAGACGGUGCUUUAAAAAGUCGCGCGUUCUCUUUCAUCCCUCUUUUUUCCCCGCAGGGGCCUUACCCAGCAUGGCGGAGUUCCUCAUCGACCCCGAGAUGGACCAGGAGCUGGACAAACUAAUUGCCCAGAUCUCAGUGAGUCCCAGCAGCAGCGGCAGUGCGGUGGGGGGGCUGAAGGAGGUGCAGAGGAGGGCGUCGCCCAGGAGGAACGUGCACCACAGGAGGAAGAUGGAGGUGGAAAGCGACGGUUCCACGGAAGAGACAGACUCCUCUGAAAACUGAGUGCGACGUGUCACCUUCCGUCUUAAGUCGCGAUGAGUCGUAUAACUAAAAGGUGGUUAUCAACGGUAUCACUCCAGUGUGUACUCCAUUUCAAAGUAUUUACAAUUCAACCUGUAUUUCACUAAAAGUAUUUCACUAAAAGUGAAAAUAAGAAAGUACGUAUGAGGUUAGCUGCUCCAUAUCAUGCGAAACAAAGCAGGUCUCAUUGCUGGUUUUACAGAGUGACUCCAAUAAGAGAGGAACCCGUUGCCUUGGGAGUACAAUGACUGACUGAUGAUUGAUAUUUGAUCAAAAAGCUACAGUUGUUUGAAACCCUACUGUAGUGACCCUGUUGCCUAUCAAAAUAAAGGACAAAAUGGUUGCUUGGAGGUUUAGUUUCCCCGCGUGCAAUAAACAGAUGAAAUGUCCAGUUUGCAAUGAGAAAAGUUAUUUAUUCAUAAAGUUGUACGGCUUCCAACACAAACCCAAAUGUACAUUUCUUGUCCAAACCCAUGUGUCUGUUCCCAACAAAUUAAAGAAAUCAAAACAC